AACGCUGGCGGCGUGCUUAACACAUGCAAGUGGAGCGACGAACCGGGGCUUGCCCCGGGGCAGAGCCGCGAACGGGUGAGUAACACGUGGGUAACCUGCCUCAAUGAUUGGGACAACCCGGGGAAACUCGGGCUAAUACCAAAUGUGUUCACUCCUUCCAAGGGGAGUGAGGAAAGGAAGCUUCGGCCUCCGCAUUGAGAUGGGCCCGCGGCCCAUUAGCUUGUUGGUGAGGUAACGGCUCACCAAGGCUUCGAUGGGUAGCUGGUCUGAGAGGACGAUCAGCCACACUGGGACUGAGACCCGGCCCAGACUCCUACGGGAGGCAGCAGUGGGGAAUCUUGCACAAUGCGCGAAAGCGUGAUGCAGCAACGCCGCGUGGGGAAGACGGCCUUCGGGUUGUAAACCCCUUUCAGUUGGGACGAAGCUUCGUCGGUGAAUAGCCGGUUGGAGUGACGGUACCUUCAGAAGAAGCCCCGGCUAACUACGUG
rnacentral:rRNA from 1 species